rnacentral:tRNA from 1 species
AAGGGAUUAGUUAAAAAAUAACAUUAGAAUGUCAAACUAAAAUUACUUUAUAUAAGUAUUCCUUA